CGCUCCCUUCCAGUACUGGAAGGCCGCAGUGAGGUUUCCCUGGAGCCUUCUCUUCUCUAAGCUAAACAAAGUGGUGUGGGCCUUUCUCCAGCGUGGAUUUAGUUUUUGUGUUCUGUUUCUUUUCAGCUGGUGUGAAGUUCAGAGUCCUCGAGCAGCAGGAUGGAAAACCUCUUCGACUCCUUAUGCAGAUCAACCCUCUAUCAUAUGGCAAUGUGGUACAGACAUACAGGCUGCCGACCUACAGCUGUUACCCCAAGGAUUCCUGGGCAUCCCUCUGCAAGAAGCUGUUCCUUGGAGAGCUGAUCUACCCUUGGAAACACAAAGGAGAGAAACAGGAGUAAAAAAAAGCAAAACCAAAAACCAAAAAAUAAUUAAAAAAAAAACACAACAGAAGAGCCAGGACUGAAAGACUUGGUUAGAAAAACAUAUUGACUCCUAAUGCUUUUGGACCAAAGGUAUCUCAGAGCCAGCAGCUGCUGGAUCCUUUUAAUUACAUUUUGGUAACGUGGGAGGGGCUGAAUUUUUAAAGACAAAUAUUUUUAAAUAUUAUUCUUCAACUUUCCAUUUCCCCUUCUGUGUGUUUGAACUGGUUUGGUUUCCAAGCUGUUUCUUGUUAAUGCAGUGUUCACCCUGCCUGAGAUGCUGGCACCGGGGGCUAAUGAUUAUUUUUGGAGCAAAAGGUUAAACCCAUCAGUGCCUCAUGGAACCAGCAUUUAGUGUAAUCAAGGAAGUACCUCCUGAGAAUUUGAUGCUGUGUACAUCUUUUUGUGUGAGUUCACAGAGCCAUAUUAAAAACAGCCCUUUUGGUGGUUCAGAA